ACUACCCAGCUCUCAUCAGCCUUGGCUGGCCAUCUCCCUGACACCCAGCUCCAUGCCUUCAAUUGAGUGGAGAGUUCUGAUGGUGAGAUAUUUGAAGUUGAUGUGGAGCUUGCCAAACAAUGUUGGAAGAUUUGGGAAUGAAGGAGGUGAUGACCUAGCUCCUCUUUCAAAUGUCAAUGCAGCAAUUUUAGAAAAGGUCAUUCAGUGGUGCACCCACCACAAGGGUGAACCUCCUCCUCCUGAGGAUGAAAACAGAGAAAAGCAAACAGAUGAUAUUCCCAUUUGGGAACAAGAAUUUCUGAAAGCUGAUCAAGGAACACCUUUUGAACUUAUUCUGGCUGCAGAUGACUUAGACAUCAAAGGUUUGCUUGAUGUUAUAUGCAAGACUGUUGCCAAUAGGAUCAAGGGGAAAACUCCUGAGGAAAUUCACAAGACCUUCAAUAUCAAAAAAUGACUUUACUGAAGAGGAGGAAGCCCAGGUACGCAAAGAGAACCAGUGAUGUGAAGAGAAGUGAAAUGUUGUGCCUGACAUUGUAACACUGUAAGGAUUGUUCCAAA